rnacentral:rRNA from 1 species
GUGUAGCGGUGAAAUGCGUAGAGAUGUGGAGGAACACCAGUGGCGAAGGCGACUCUCUGGUCUGUAACUGACGCUGAGGAGCGAAAGCGUGGGGAGCGAACAGGAUUAGAUACCUGGUAGUCCACGCCGUAAACGAUGAGUGCUAAGUGUUAGGGGGUUUCCGCCCCUUAGUGCUGCAGCUAACGCAUUAAGCACUCCGCCUGGGGAGUACGGUCGCAAGACUGAAACUCAAAGGAAUUGACGGGGGCCCGCACAAGCGGUGGAGCAUGUGGUUUAAUUGGAAGCAACGGGAAGACCCUUACCAGGUCUUGACUUCCUCUGACAACCCUAGAGAUAGGGCUUUCCCUUCGGGGACAGAGUGACAGGUGGUGCAUGGUUGUCGUCAGCUCGUGUCGUGAGAUGUUGGGUUAAGUCCCGCAACGAGCGCAACCCUUGAUUUUAGUUGCCAGCAUUCAGUUGGGCACUUUAAGGUGACUGCCGGUGACAAACCGGAGGAAGGUGGGGAUGACGUCAAAUCAUCAUGCCCCUUAUGACCUGGGCUACACACGUGGUACAAUGGACAGAACAAAGGGGUGCAAGACCGCAAGG